rnacentral:rRNA from 1 species
AUACGGAGGAUGCGAGCGUUAUCCGGAUUUAUUGGGUUUAAAGGGAGCGUAGGUGGGAUAUUAAGUCAGCUGUGAAAGUUUGGGGCUCAACCUUAAAAUUGCAGUUGAUACUGGUUUCCUUGAGUACGGUACAGGUGGGCGGAAUUCGUGGUGUAGCGGUGAAAUGCUUAGAUAUCACGAAGAACUCCGAUCGCGAAGGCAGCUCACCGGGCCGGAACUGACACUGAUGCUCGAAAGUGCGGGUAUCAAACAGGAUUAGAUACCCUGGUAGUCCGCACAGUAAACGAUGAAUACUCGCUGUUUGCGAUACGCUGUAAGUGGCCAAGCGAAAGCGUUAAGUAUUCCACCUGGGGAGUACGCCGGCAACGGUGAAACUCAAAGGAAUUGACGGGG